UGAACGCUGGCGGCGUGCUUAACACAUGCAAGUCGAACGAGAACGCCUCAGCUUGCUGAGGCAAGUAAAGUGGCGCACGGGUGAGUAACGCGUGGGUAAUCUACCUCCGAAUUGGGGAUAACAUUGCGAAAGCGGUGCUAAUACCGAAUAAUAUCCUCAAGACUCAGGUUUUGAGGCCAAAGGUGGCCUCUACAUGUAAGCUACUGUUUGGAGAUGAGCCCGCGUACCAUUAGCUUGUUGGUGGGGUAACGGCCUACCAAGGCUGCGAUGGUUAGCUGGUCUGAGAGGAUGAUCAGCCACACUGGAACUGACACACGGUCCAGACCCCUACGGGAGGCAGCAGUGAGGAAUUUUGCGCAAUGGGGGAAACCCUGACGCAGCAACGCCGCGUGAGUGAUGAAGGCCUUCGGGUCGUAAAGCUCUGUCAAGUGGGAAGAAUCUGUCCGGUGAUAAUACCGCUGGGCAAUGACGGUACCGCUGAAGGAAGCACCGGCUAACUCCGUG
rnacentral:rRNA from 1 species